CCGUUAUAUUCAAAAAUAGAUAUGAAAUUAUGUAACUUCAGCGUUCUUAUAUAUAAACGAUAUAAAUCCAACGAUACUUCAAUAAUCGCUGACUAGUCAAUUAAACCCGAUAAUGUUGCACGUACACACACAUCGCGAUUAAUCCUCGUUGUUUCGACAUGUUAGAAUUCUCCACAUCUGACGAAUACGUUCUGACAUGGCCGCUCGUCUUAGAUCGCGGGAUCGCCGCUAACGAUUGCACGAUUUUUCAUGCGAUAUCGCGGCUAUCGUUAACGAGUAUCUCUCUUAAUGCCUUCGUCCCUCCAUCCUCGCAAUGUUUCAUUACCCUCGACCAACUAUCGUCCCUCUCCUCAUUCCAUUUUUUAUUCUUUUCUUUCCAUUCGUAUCUGUCUCUCCUUACGGUUUACCACCUCUAUCUCGGGUGAACCGAUUCCAUCUCGCUUCCACGACCCUCCUCCACCGCUACCUCCUCCUCCUCCUCCUCCUCCUCCUCCUUCUCUAUCCCUCUCUUCGUCGCUCCUCGAAUUCUCGAUCCCUCCCGGCAGCGUUUCAGAGUCGGGACGCUUUUAUCGUGUCGGCCGAUCGCGAAACGGCAUCUCGCGAUAAUUGUGAAAUAUUAAUAAUAACGAGGAAACGGGGCGCCCUUGGUGUGGCGCAACUCGGCCAUUUACGCGGCCAAAUAACAUCUAGACACCGGUACGCGCCAUCGUUCGUUCGAUCGAGAGCGAAAACACGGAAUGAAAGACCGUGGAAAGACGAUCCUCCGAUCCUAUCGAUCUCAUUUAUGCCGCUCUACGCCGCUCUAAAUAAUAUCGUUAUGCAAAAUUCGUCUCGGUGAGACGGUGUAAACGCGGCGGCUUUGAUAUCAUGAUCGAUUUUUAGUAGGUUCGAUCGUUGAGGGUCGUAAAUCAAUCCAGAACGACGUGAGAUAAAUGUCGCAAAAUUAGAGGGCUUGAUACCGCGCGAUUCGGUUGCGCGCGUUAAUUGAAUACACGGGCGGAAAAUAAGAAGGCUGCGCGCGCAGCUUUUGCGAUUGAAGGCGCACGCGCUACUCGAACUGUUCUAGCAACGGCGGGGGCUUGUUUAAAAGAGAUCGACUAUAAAGAUGACGCUUCUUGUUCUGCUUACCUGCGAGGUUAUUUGAUAUAAUGAUGUGGAUUAAUUGGACGAUGAGAUGAAAGGGUUAAAGGACCUUAAUAACCUCUUUUGUGAAAGUUUCGAAGUAAAUAGUGGGAUUUGUUAUUUGCUGUUUGAACGAUGACACGUGGAGGGAAUACAUGUUGCGCGGUACUGUCGUUGGUUAGAUGUUAAGAAAGGGCAAGUUAAUAAAUUGAUAUCGAGGGGAAGGCAAUUUAACUGGAAACGAACCGGCAGAUAGCCCACGAGCAGCGACGCCAUUGCACCCGGAGAUAAAACAGUGAUAGGGAGAUCGAUGAAGGCGAUAGUUGAAGUUAUUACCGGAUAGAGGAAGCGGCCGUGACAAAGACGGAGACCGGACGAAAAAGAGAAACAGAAACUGUUAGUCCGGGCCCUUGCGUACGCUUACGGGGAUGUAGGGGGGAGGGGAGGGAUGGAAGGAGACGUAGAAACGCGAAACUCGAAGGACGAAGAGCGCGUACAAUGGGUAACAUCGCGAGGAAGGACGAAGAGGAAAGAAAGCGCCGCUUUUGAUGAAGAGAAGAAGGAAAAAGAGAGAGAGAGAGAGAGAGAGGGAGGCAGAAUAAGUGAGGACACAAUAGAAGAAAGAAAGAUAGAUAGAGACGAACGCGGAUGUGGAAAUAGGGGCGAGAAGGAGGAAGGAAGAGAGAGAGGGGUGUGGAGAAGGGGUGUAGAGGAGUGCACGAAGACCGAUAAGCAGAAACGGUUAUCAAGAAAUGGAAAUGACUGAUAAAAGUCUGGCAGCGAGUUGUCGUUGGAACGUUUUUAAUAUUACAUUAAGUCGGGAUUAUACUUUGUAUAUUAUGUAUAUAUAUAUAUAUAUAUAUAUAGGAACGCGACGAUUUGUGUCGUGUUAUGACGCAUCGUCGCGGGGCACGCGAAAUUUCACGGUCUCGUUACGACCGACCCGGAACGAUUUAAUUAACGAUCGACUGGUAAAACGGAAGGGAUAGGCGGAGAGAUCGGGCGAGAAUGAUUUUAAUCGGGCGAUGAUCAAGCAUGGAGAAAGGACAAAAACGUUAAGGAUCGAUGAGAUGUUCGAUCGUGCGUGAUAAUAAGUGUCGAGUGUGUAAUCGUUUGGAUUUGAAUAUUUUUCGGUGAAUCAGCAGUUUUGGAUUAUUAAUUCGUGCUCAUCGUGUUAAGCACACGGGAUACUUUCUUAUGUAAAAAUGACAUUAAAUGAUAAUAACGAGAGAUAUUAGAUUAGAUUUAACGAGUUGUCAUCGAGGGGAGACGUGAGUCGUCGUCUUUUGUCUUUAAAGCGUUGAUAACGGUUGACGAUUUGUCUUCUGGUAUAUUUCUAUUCAGUAAUGAAGAGAUAGUCAAACAUGGAGCAUCGGUUGAAUAUGGAAAUUUUUGCAGAUGUAACGAGUGAUAAUAAAAUAACAAUAGUUGUGACGGCGAUAGUGAUAAUUCUUUUCCCUAAUGAAAAAUUAUAUAACAAGAAGAAAAAUUGUUUUCGAUAAUGUGUGAGAAUUAAGGCAUCAUCAAUGAUGACUUAAUAUCUUAGAUUUACCAAGUCAUCGUGUGGCUCUCUCUGAACACGAGCCUCGAGUCCAACUGUUUUGACACUCGUUCGUCUCGUAGCCGGCCUCUGCUCCUCUCGUCGGCCUUUCUUCUUCUCCGGCCUCCGAAUUCCAUGCCGAGUUAUAUCAGAAUAUCUAUGGACUCGUCUGGACCACUUUUCGCUUAAUCGUCUUCUACUCUUCGUCUGGUACCGCCGCUACCUAGCGAACAUCUGUCCGUAAUGCCAUGUUGCUCUUUUAACUGAAUAUCGUUGUUUGGACGUUUAGAAGAUAGUAAUGAUUAAAUAGAUAAAAACUUGGAAAAUACAAUAUUAAUAUUCAGCGAUUGGAAACAGUUAAAAGGAAUUUCGAAGUUUAAGGAUAAUCUAGAAGAGAAUCUUCCUACACCAAAAGCGAUACGACAAGUCGGAGGAUGUUCCGCGAUUGCAGUGACGCACGCAAACGUACAAAGGUCGCCUCGUAAAUAGUUUAAUCUCCGAGCGAUCAAGCUGGCGUCUGAUUAAAACUGUCUCGCCUCUGUUAAUCAUUAUCUCUCCCGUUCGAAAGUACAAAGAUGCGUUUUGUCUUCGACGUGAAUUUUUGUAUUCCUUUAAAAAUUUAACGAGCCUGGAACAGUUCGUCCAGUGUUCCAUUUUGUGUAUCGCUAUCCAAUCACGAUUAUCCAGAAGAAAAAACUCAUUAUGCUAAUCAUCAAAAGACGAGAGAAGAAUGUUAUUACAUAAUUAUCAAAAUUGAUAAUUUCAAACUUUUGGAAAAAAUAUUCCAAAAUUUCAAGACUCCGCUUGCAUAAUUUACUCGAUUCAACAUUUAUUGUAUCCAGUUCUUCAAAGUUGUGUCCACGCUUUUUCGAAAAAUAUUUCAGCACUAUAAUAUAUAUAAUAGGUACAUUAUUCAA